GACGAACGCUGGCGGCGUGCUUAACACAUGCAAGUCGAACGGAAAGGCCCUGCUUUUGGGGGGUGCUCGAGUGGCGAACGGGUGAGUAACACGUGAGUAACCUGCCCUUGACUUUGGGAUAACUUCAGGAAACUGGGGCUAAUACCGGAUAGGAGCUCCUGCUGCAUGGUGGAGGUUGGAAAGUUUCGGCGGUUGGGGAUGGACUCGCGGCUUAUCAGCUUGUUGGUGGGGUAGUGGCUUACCAAGGCUUUGACGGGUAGCCGGCCUGAGAGGGUGACCGGCCACCUUGCGACUGAGAUACGGACCAGACUCCUACGGGAGGCAGCAGUGGGGAAUAUUGCACAAUGGGCGGAAGCCUGAUGCAGCAACGCCGCGUGCGGGAUGACGGCCUUCGGGUUGUAAACAGCUUUCGCCUGUGACGAAGCGUGAGUGACGGUAAUGGGUAAAGAAGCACCGGCUAACUACGUG
rnacentral:rRNA from 1 species